GAUAAACGCUGGCGGCGUGCCUAACACAUGCAAGUCGAACGUCCUCUGACUCUUCGGAGUUAUGAGGGAGUGGCGGACGGGUGAGUGACACGUGGGUAACCUGCCCCAAAGUGAGGAAUACCGGCGAGAAAUCGCCGACAAUACCGCAUGCGCUCUCGAGAGGGGAACCGAACGAGAGGAAAGCUUCGCAAGAGGCGCUUUGGGAAGGGCUUGCGUCCGAUUAGCUAGUUGGUGGGGUAAGGGCUCACCAAGGCGACGAUCGGGAGCUGGUCUGAGA
rnacentral:rRNA from 1 species